UACGAAGGGGGCUAGCGUUGCUCGGAAUCACUGGGCGUAAAGGGUGCGUAGGCGGGUCUUUAAGUCAGGGGUGAAAUCCUGGAGCUCAACUCCAGAACUGCCUUUGAUACUGAAGAUCUUGAGUUCGGGAGAGGUGAGUGGAACUGCGAGUGUAGAGGUGAAAUUCGUAGAUAUUCGCAAGAACACCAGUGGCGAAGGCGGCUUACUGGCCCGAUACUGACGCUGAGGCACGAAAGCGUGGGGAGCAACAGG
rnacentral:rRNA from 1 species